rnacentral:rRNA from 1 species
AUUGAACGCUGGCGGCAGGCCUAACACAUGCAAGUCGAACGAGUGGCGGACGGGUGAGUAAUGUCGGGGACACUGCCUGAUGGCGGGGGAUAACUACUGGAAACGGUAGCUAAUACCGCAUACCAGCAGAUGUGCACUGAUUGGAUUAGCUAGUUGGUGGGGUAACGGCGCACCAAGGCGACGAUCCAUAGCGGGUCUGAGAGGAUGACCAGCAAUACUGGAACUGAGACACGGUCCAGACUCCUACGGGAGGCAGCAGUGGGGAAUAUUGCACAAUGGGCGCAAGCCUGAUGCAGCCAUGCCGCGUGUAUGAAGAAGGCCUUCGGGUUGUAAAGUACUUUCAGCGGGGAGGCGUUACCCGCAGAAGAAGCACCGGCUAACUCCGUGCCAGCCGCCGCGGUAAUUC